UGUCAGCCUUCCUAGGAAAUGCCAGUGCAUUUUGGUAUGUUUUUCUUCACUUGCAUCUUUGCUUUCUCCUUUGACAAGGAAAGAAAAAACUUCUUUCUCCAAGGCAGGCACUCCUCCUUUCUUCUACAUGUGGGGUAAUGAAUUGGACUGAAGGAUAUAGUUCAGAAGCUAUGCCUGUAACAGUGGUCAAAAGCCUACUAUUAGGAAGUACUUCCAGUAUUAUUUAAGAAAGAUUUUCUUGUUAAUAAUAUAAUGUACACACAUAAAAUAAGAUAGUGGAAUCCAACUUGGGUACUUAAAGAAUCAAUUAACUUCAGUAACUCAUUAUUCAAGAGUUUUUAUAUGAGUUACCAGCUACGUCCCAUCACAAUCAGUAUAACUUUUCUGAGGAUACUUCAGGAUUAUCCAAAGCGAAGUUCUGAAAUUUGACAAAAAUUAAGAGUGCAACUUACACACAUAAAUAGUUAUGAGUUUUCUACUCUCCAACAUACUAUAUGGAAAACAUGUCAGUUAGUCUUAAAUUCUAAUUAAAAGGAGUAAACACUGAUUGCCAGAGAAUGUGCAACUUGUUCAAACAGAUAUUCCCCCAUACGUUCACAGCCACUGAAGAUGAUUAUUCACACAGACAAUUCUAGGAAAUCUAUUUCAGCAUAUUUUAUUAUGGACUAAAACUGAACCCCCACUCUGCAACAAUGGAAAAAUUGUUAACAACAUUGCCUCAAGAGAGGGCUGGGUUUGUGUUUAAGACCCUAAUUAGCUUAUUUUCCAUCACACUAUUUUUUGCUGUUGGCUUCAGUGCUAUCAGUCGUAAUUAAAAACAUGGAGUAUUACGACCCACCUCUACAAAUCAAUUCCUAAAUCAUUGCAAUGCAAGUCAUUGUCCAAGUAUAUAUAUCUUAAAUAUUACAAGUGUUAUCUAGGCUUCACGGGCAAUCAUAAUUCUUCUCUGAUUUUUCUUUCUAAAGCAGCCUUGCCUUUCCAAUCCUGAAAAUAUAAUACUUAAUUGCCUGUGUCAGACUGAGCGUCGCUGCUGCCACUAACUGGAAGUCUAAACCACGCCGUGGUUCUAACAUGUGGAAAAAACCCACUUAAAAACUAUUGCUUACAAUCAAGAGAAUCACAGCCUUCUAACAACCAUGCUGCCUGCUCCUCCACCAGGAAGAGAGACCCCUGUGACAGCAUCUAAGGACAAAGCAGAUGACAUUUUCAUCCUUGCCAAGUAGUGCUGGACCACUGUGUGCUGCCUCCAGGUCGCAGUGGCCCAGAACAGAUGGUUUGUUCCCUUAAUCCAGUGUGGUGGGGACCCAAGUCAACUCUGCAGCAUCCUCCCCCAUGUUCACUGUUCAGACACACAUUUCUGCAAUGUAAGGGCCAGGUCAUGCUACUCUGUGCCUGUAUAAGCAAGUGUGGAUUCUACACAGCUUCUUUAAAAAUUCUAACUUGCUGUGACCUAAAAAAUCUGAAAAACUCUGAAAAUUUCGAUAGAGUUUGAUAGGAUUUUUUAAAAUCAUACUGUUUCAAUACUCCAAUGGCUGGACAAACAGAAGUUAAAGACCUCCAUGCUCCCAGUUCCAUACAACGCUUCUUUGAUUUACAGCCUCAGAAACUGAAAAAGAAAAAGAUCCAAAAGCCUAUUCUUUCAAGAAGAGAGGAAAGGAAAUCAAUACCUAUUCUGCCUCUACAAAUUCAGGUCCUCCAAAGACAGAGGGUCAGUAUAAUGAAGCAACUGACUGAAGUAAAAAUGAGGCUCCAUGUGCCAUUUAUUCCCAAAGAUGAUCCAGUAUGCACACUUCGUAUUUUUCAGCAAGGCUUGUUUGACAUAAUAUGGAGGCUACUGGAGAGUUUAAAGUCCACGUUGCCUUGUACACACAACUUCUUACUGGAUUGUGUUUUAACCUGCCCCCUGCAACUGCCUUUUCCACAUCCUGCUUCCAGGAAAUGAGUGCUCCUGCUGACAAGCUCGUGCCCGCUAAUCUCAGCUAAAAAGACAGGCUGCCACUUCGUACAGAAGCAGCAAAACAAGAUCUGAAAGGUCCUGCCCUCGGGAGGAGCACUCGUUCCUCCCCUUUCCAUACACCAGCCUGGGAAUGGAGCGGAGUAGCCCCAACCCCUGGGAAAGCGCUGACGGUGGCACAGGGCAUGGAGAGCAGCGAUGCAGGAACUCAGGGGCAUGAAACAGGGAGCAGGGAAUGCAAGUCCCUGAGUAAAACCAAGCACUGAGGUCUCUCAUUCCCCUCCAGAUGUUCCCACCUGUGUCUUUCAAAAGCAUGGGAUAAGAAACAGAUUCUGUAAUUUCCUCCGUAAGAGCACAAACUUAGAGGCCCUGCCCUAAUCUUCCUUCCAGCAUUUCUUUGUCUUCUUGUUGGAACUCAGCCUUGUUCUGCAGAGAGGAAGAGACAACAGCCAGAUAUGAUGGGUAUGUGACUGGUCUACUGACUUCUUCCCACAUACCACCAAAGGAUUUUUCUAAUAGACUUUGUUUUCUGCCAUUUGCUGGUUUGUUUUUGUAACAAAGCUUUCAUACAUGGCAGAUGUGUUCUGGAAGGAAAGACCAUGAGGACUGCAGUACUCUUUCAAAGCAAAGACUAGGCCUAAGAUCCUACUUCUAACAGAGGUGUGAAAAGAUGACCAAGAACAGGAUAACUAAGCACAAUAUUCCCAAACAGUUACUCUUUUUAAUAUUUCACAAACUUGCCUUUAGAUUCUAAAUAAUCCCCAGUGACUUUCUCAUCCAUGCACUCAUCCAGCCUUUCCUUAAACCGUAAGCAACUGCAACACCAUUUGGCAACAAGUUUCACAUGCCUUGUACUCACUGCACAGCAAGUCUGGCUCCUGCACACUUCAAACCUGGCACUGGCUCUAUUUAUGCAGGUGUUAGAAGUUACAUUUUUUUAUUGCACUUCUUAAUAAGUUAUUCAGAAUGUAAAAUGCUUACAGGCCUCAGCUUUACCAAGCUGUGUUUAACAUAAUGGCAUUACAUCUGCCACUGUGCACACCAAAACCAUUCCAGCCAACCAUUUACACCAUUACUAAUUCACCUUUUUCAUUCUUCACAAAGUUUGGAAAAUAUUGGUUUUAUCUUAAGGCAAAAUAUUUACGUUUCCAACAAGAAGGUUGUAUGAAGGUUUGCUGUAGCAUUGAUCUGUCCAGUUGAGAGAAGUGGAGAGCAUUCACAGCAUUUUGUUUAUCCCUACCCAAAAUUCCCCAGAAAUGAGCUCACGCUGGCCUUCCCUCAGUAGACUUUUUUUCUAUGUGCCUUACAUAUAGCGAUUACAUUAAAGACAUUUUCACACCUUUUCCAUCUUCAGUUUUGACAUAAGAGUUUGCUUUUUCUUUUCUAAUUUGCAGAUCGUCGCUGGUACAGACCUUAUCCUGGAAGGCAUCAGAUGCAAAGUAUGCGAAUGGAAAGACCUCCAGAAAUGCUCCACUUAAGGAAAGACAAGUGAGCCUGAAACACCUUCAGAAGAAAAAAGGCACUAAAUGUAAUCAGCUUAAAUUCUUUCGGUACUUUCAAAUUCAUUAGUAUUUCCAGGUAGUGCUACAAGUAAUGCUGAAGGGCUCUUGGAGAACAGAGGAUCUUGGGUAAAGCAAGUAUUUGCUAUAAUUUGAUUCUGAUGAGAACAAAAUAGAUGGAAUUGUCUGGAAUAUAUUUAUAGCAAAAAGACUUUAUUAAUCACAGCUUUCUGACCUGAUCAUCCUGGCAUACAGGUAUGCAGCUUGUCUCUACAACCUCUUCUUUAACUGACGACAACAUGAGAACAAAUGAAUGAAAAUGAGCGACUCAACCCAGUGCUCAGAGCCCCAUCCUCCAGUCUUUUGCACAACACUGAAACUCAGACAAACCCAAGAUUCAGAUUACAAAGAGGCAGAUUUCUUCUCUGCUGUCAACACUUCUAUAUUUGUGUUGGUUGGCUUGACUCCUUGAUCUCCGAGGAAUCGUCCCGAAGACUACAGGCAGAUACACAACCGGAAGAGCAAAGAAUAUUUAAGCAGCAGAACUGCUCAGUGGGAACAUGUAGGUGUUUGUCUGCAACAUUGAGAUUCUGAUGUUGUUUUAUUUUCAAGCUCCUUUCUAGCCUGAACAGGUUAGAUUUAAAAACAGGCCUUAAAUCAGCAGGCUAUUUCAACUGAAUGAAUUAUUCUAAUCAUUAAAUGAUUGACCAAAGUUGUUGUUUUGGCAUUCACCUGAAAGUAAGCAAAGCAAAUCAGAUAAUUUUGUACUGUACUUUUCUUUCCUCUUUUUUUUCAAUAUAUGUUUCUUGAAAGCAAGAGAAGUGUUGAUUUGAUCCCAAAGCAAUAUUCAGCCUGUAUUGUGUCAAGCAGGCACUUCUCCCCUGAUGGAUGGUCUAAUCCAUGUCAGAACAUCUCUGAUACUGGAAAUUAGGAAAGGAAAAUUCUUUGUUCUUUGUGGUUACCAGCAUUUCAGUGCAAAUCCCUUCUGGUAUGUGUAUUAUACCACAGCAACAUUAUUCCACACGUUCUACCAAAAGUCUUCAUGAUACACUCCCAGAUUUAAGAGGAGAUAAGCUCUGGUAUCAGAAUAUUCACCUGAAAACUGAUUUUUCACAUCCAGUGCAAUUUAUAGAACACACACUUCCACUGAAAUAUUUGGGAUUAAAAUGUUUGGGACUUAAAAAUCAAACAGGGAAAAAUACUGUAACAGUUUUGAAAUGAUCCUAGCUUGGUGCAAGGGUCUCUUACUACAGAUUAAAUACUGGUUUUUUCAACAUAUCUGCUCUGAUCCCACUGUAUGUUGGGAAUAAAGGGUUGCUGUGAUACACCAUAUAUUUCAGCCCAUUUUCACCACCACAGAGUUUGUAGAUGAUGCUCAGAUGCAGAUGACUAUGCCAAGAAGGGGGAAGAGAGUUCUAAGUGUUUCCUCUUAGAAGACUUAGUGUCCAGUUAAGUAAAGUGACAUCUUCCAGAUGAAGUGGAAACUCCAGCAAGACCUGUAUCAGCCUAAUGAACAGCAUUACGCACCUGCAACAUUUGGGACAGAUGUAAUCAGCAAUAUUUUUCUUCCUUCUUGAGUCAUUUCCAUCAUUAAAAAUAACUCUGAAAGACUGACUGUUUCCUAAAUUAAUUCUUCAAUAGAUUCAUCACAACAGAUGGUUUUGUUCACUCCCAAACACCAGCUUCAAGCAAGGGAAAGACAAACAGCAACAGCGCAGUAACCACAUAUAUAAUGUCUUGGAGCACCUCCUGAAUUGGAAACUCAGGACAGAAAAAAGUACCACAAACAUUAACAGGGCCAAACUAAUGUCAGCAGAAUCCAGCAAACCUGUCACAUCACCUUGGUAAUAUACUGUUUUGCUUAGAAUCCAAAACUUCCUUAAGUAACACAAUUUAUUGCCUCAAAUCUUAUUAUAACACCCAACCAGCAAAUGCUUCUAUGCUGCUUUGUAACAUGCACCUUACAAGGUCUGAACUUUAAAAACUGAAAAUCAAAAUUACAAUCUUUUAUCUGACUGCUUUGCAGAGGCUAAAAUUCAGCUGCUAUUGUAUUUUCUGUUAUGCCAAAUGUCCCACAUCUAAAUCCCUUCAUAUUUUGAAGAGGAAAAAAGCCAAAAGAAAGUCACAACCUUCUGCAGCUCAUUUCUGGUAACAGAAAAAAUGUCUUACUUUUUAGUUUCAGUGAAGCAUUUUGUUCUAGAUAGACACACAUAUAUAUAUCUCAAUACAAGCUUAUGCUAGCAAAAAUCAGAACUAGGAAGAUGUUUUAGAUCCAACCAUGUCAUGCUAAGACAGUUUUGGGCUUUUUUCCCUAGAAGCAGAAAUUCCCCAUCAGCUACAACUCUCUUUCCAUCAGAACUUAGCAUUUGAUCACACAGCCUUCUCCUAAAGGAAAAGCAGUCCUCCGGUACUUGAAAUUGCAAACAGGCUUCCAGGCCACUGGAAAACCUGUUGACAUUACUGUUAAAGAAAAGAAAUAAACACCUUUCCUGUCUAACAUAACCUAAUCUGUUGAAUUUCUGUGCGAGGCAUUCUGGAGUUCAGUAAAAUAGUUUACAAAUAAAAGCCAACAUUGGAAUGAGGAUUUGUGCCUCGAAAUCACACCUUUAUACUUAGGAUACACACGUUUGAAAGAUCCUGCAGCCUGGUCCCAAUAGAACAGCCAUUAUACUUGUAUAAUUUUUUUCCAUCUGUAAUUCAGUGCAUUAGGUAAUGAGCUCUGGAAAUUUGUAAUUUAUUUUUUUUUAAACUGCUUUAAAUCAAAUCAGGGACAACAGACAAAACUGAAUAACCUGCUUACUAUUUUACAAAGUAUUUCCAUCCAAUUAUGAGCUCAACAACCAUUUCAUAGCUCUGGUAAAAAUAAAAAAUGACGUAGCCACAGAAUAAAACCCAAGACCAUAAAACUCUACUGCAUUGUAUUUGGCUUAUUUCUUUCAGAGAGAUUAACAAGAGCUACACAAUUUACAGCUACUUAAACACAACUCUCACUGCAUAAAUAGCCAACAUCACUGUUUCACACCGUUGACAAUAAUUUCUAUCACAAAAGAGAUCUGAUGAUCCAAUCUGCCAGUAUUUGCCAUUUAAAGGAUCUGGCAUGCUGCUAUGUCUAAAAUGAACCUGAAAAUGAAAAAAAAAAAAAAAACACAACAAACCUAUACCCGUUUUGUUUUGUUACACAGCAGGGAAGAAUUCUGAGUUUACAAAGCAUUUUCAAAGGAAGCCAUCAUACAGUACUUUUUUUUUCCACAAAGCCAUCUGGAAAAUUCCCUGCCCUAAAGAAGAGAGAUCUCUCUUCUGCCCAUGUCAAUUGUCAGAGCACAUGAACUCUCCGCUACUGGAUUUCCAAGCAGACACUUGUUUUGAUGCUGGGAAGGCACCAGCAGAGAACAGCUGGAGACUCCUGAGGAUUUGCUUGCUCUGUGUGCAGUCCCCGGGGAUCCCGGGUGACAAGCAGCAGCAGCAGCAGCAGCAGCAGAGCCACGGGAGCGAGCAGCUCAGAGAAGGCUUUUCUGCAACACCUCUGCCUGUGAAAGGGCCAUGCACCCCAUAUUCUACAGCCCUUCACUUGCCAUGGCUGCAGCUCUCAGAAAAACUUGAAACCAAGCCCCUCACCUUGCAUGCAGCUGCAUCCAAGCAAAGAAAAUGCUGGUGAGGCAUUUGAGAGCUGAAAUUUGGAAAAACUUAGAGGUGGAUGCAGCCCAAGCCCAGCCCCUGAGCUCUGAUUCUCAGUAGUGAUACCUCCAAGCAACUCAAAGCCUUGCUGAUUCCAGAAUUCUCCUUUUCUCCAUCAUUCCACCUUGGUUUUUUCACAAUACACAACCCAGAAACCUUCUAGGCAACAGCUCUUCAGCCACAGACACAGGCACCUGCAGGAAUGAGAUCCGCAACCUAAGCAGGGAUUAUACAGAAUUUCUGUCCGCUGCUAUUUUUCUCUCAUGGCACUCAGGAUUUUUGGAAUCGCUGAAGUUGCUCUUUGAAGCCUAGUUUAUUUCUGAUCAGCCUUUCUCCUGUGUUACAGGGAAUUUGUCCAACAGUGUUGUCACAGUAUCACCGCAGGGUAAAGCUGAGCUGUCACUCUUACUCCUAGUUUCAGAUCUCCACGAGACUCAAGCAAUGGGACACUCACUCACAGCACACACCAGAAAUUUUACAUUCAUUUACACUGGGGAUCCACUUUUUAACAACCUUAUAAUACUUUGAGAACUCCCUUUAUGCCUAGAUUGUUCACACAGAAAGAGAGUUUCUUUCUGUACAUGCAAGAGCCUUGGUUUGUGUUUGUACAGAAGCUGUGCCUGAAUUUUAAUGCUUUAUAAGCCUUGUUAUGAAACGUCUGUUCAUUUGUACUGCAUGUACCUUUCUUCCCCUCCUAGGAAACCACACUCCAGCUCAUCUGCAGGAAUGAAGACACCCACCUGAACUCCUCCCCCCCAGCCUCCUCAGUGCAGCUUUACAAGUUCCCACCUUGCAUUUCCCAAAUUCACUGAGAAGGUGACAGUCUCUGCAAAUAACAACGUACAAGCUGAAACUCUAGAUUUUGUGUAACUUUCAACAAGUUCCUAAAACCUGUAAGUGACACACAUUUCCCUGACAAGAAAAUACCAGUAGAAAGCUAACUUUCAAUUAAAAGAACUCAUUUUCACAAGGGAUUUUUUUUUUGCAACUUAUCCUAAAGCCCUGACCAUUAUUUCUAAUAUAGUGAUUACAGAGUGUGAAAGGCUUGAGGGACCUCACAUUUUUCAGUGGUAUUGUACUUGCCACUCCUUCAGAGAGGCAGACCUUUGGAAAAGGCAAGGAAAAUGGGGAAAAGAGAACCCUAGUAUAGAGUUAACCUUCUUGCAAUCAAUCCUUUCAACUCAACUCACUCUCGUAGGUGAUGCCUGGGGGAACAGUACAAGGUGCACUGUCUGCAGGCCAGGACUGGCCCUGCCAGACCAGACAACAGAGACUUUCCAUUACAAGAUCCACAAAAAAUAUGAACAUUCAACAGUUCCUCCCUUCUCUCCCCUCUGUUCCCACCCAGGCCUUGCUUUACAAAGGGGAUGAUUCCUCAUCCCUCAUCUUUUCCACUACAACUUUCCACUACCAAGCAAAGUUACCCAAUUCUGAAGGAGGCCUCCUUUCUCAUUCAAGAAAAGGGAAUAAAACCCCUGAUAGUUGGUACAUUCUGCAUCCUUCUGAAACAUCUUAAUUUACAGAAAUAUGUUAUUUCCAACCAACCCAUUCUUAUUGUUCAUUUAGAAUACAACCAGCCUUUUUAUUGCAAAAUAACACUUAUUGAGAAAUAGUCCUUUAGCAGAUUUCAUUCUUUCCCUAUUUUUCACCCAGCCCAAAUGCAUACACACAAUAAAUAAGCUAUAAUUUUGGUUCUAAAACAGCUGUCAUCUCAUAAAAACUUGCUGCUCACAAGCAAUGUUUGUUGCACAUUCAAUCCUAUAAGGAUAUAAUACACAUAAUUAUGCUAUUGUUAUUAAGGCAAUCAUAACAGAUACCAUAUGGACUUUAAAGUGGCUUUGAGAACCAUUUUUUAAUAAACGCAACAUCACUGACACAUUUUGGAAGAAAAAUCCAUUCCCUAAAGUGCACGCUGUUGGUAAUAUAUAUAGCUUACUCUUUUUGGGGUGUUUUUACACUGUAUGCACUGAGAGUAACAAUACAACUCAUAGCUUCCAUUGAGAUCUCACUUUCAAAGGCUCUCCAGACUCACUGCACAUCAUGUUUUUAAUACAACAGUGACUGCAUGCCAGAAUUCAAUGCUCCUGCAAAUAUGCCAACUUGUAGCUACUUUCAAAAUGAGCUGCUCACUAGGAAUUAGUGCCAGGGUAAAUCAAUGGCACAUUCAGCUAGAUGUCCCAGCUCUGCGAAAUGAAUUAUACGCUAUAUACAGUCCUUUUGUACACGUCUGGUUUUUUUUGCAUCUUUAUCAACGAAAGCUGAAAAGACUAGAAAUGAAGUUCCAGAAGGCUGUAAAUUAUCCAGCAAAGGAUUAGCAGAACAGGAAGCAAUUUUGUCUACCUGCACGUUUAAAUACUGGAUUCAUGUAUUAGAAUAAAUUCUACGCUGUCUAAACCAUUUCACCCCUUCUCAAAAAACGCUGCUUUCUUUGGAUGGUUCCCGCUGUGACACACACAGAGCAGCGGGAUGCUGGGAGCUGCACCAGCAGCCUACUAAUAGCUGAGUGCUGGGGUGUUGUUGGGAAAAACAAAAAAGUCACUUAAGUUGUAACAGCUAAUGGGCGGCAGAUAAUUGGGGGCAGCAAAACUGAACUUUUGAAUGCUCCAGCACAAACCUGCUACUUGCUAGCUGCAGCUGGUAUGGACACGGGACAGAACAGAAAAAUAGGAGGUGGAUCCCACGUGCUUCUGCACGUGGGACUGUUAGACUGGGAAAAUGGGAGGCCUGGGAAGUGGGAAGAAGGAAGGGAAGAUGCUGGUUAGAUCCCGGAGCUCAGGCUCAUGCACGGGGGCAGAUAUCAGAGCUAACUGUGAACCUGGCUUUCAGUCCCACCUCCUAUAGCCAAGAUCAUCCUUGUCGGGAAGGCCACAGAUCAUCAAACAGGGUAAAGCCUCUCACCUUUUUGGUUCUUAAAUAAACUGCAGUAUCCAGAGAUACUAUGUAUGGCAGGGUUUUUGCCCCCAUUUUUUUUGAAAAAUAAGUUUUUUACUCAUGACAUGGAGGUCAUCUCCAUUUCUUUAAAAAAAAACACUGCCAAGUGCACACUUGACCAAUCUGCAAUGCUCUUAUUGCAAAAUCCAGUAAGCCUCGGGGCUGUCCACUCUUACGAACAGCAGGAAAAUUUUAGAAAUAAUUGAAUCUUGUGGACUUGUGUUUGUGAGGGAGGAGCCUUCUCCACAAGGCUAAGCAGCAAUUUGCAGAAGUCUCAACAGCCUGACUGUGUCCCAUUUAUAAAACCUUCUUAUUCAGUACCCUUUCAUUCCCUUCAGACAUUCAAUCAAUUUUCCAUCCACAUCUCAGAAGUGCGACUGACUCUACAAGUUGUGUGCAGUUGUACCACGUGUUAAUCAUCUCCUCCUACAGAACCAGCUUCCUUUAUCUACUACAACCUCAGAGGAACAUGUCUAAUUCCACCUGACUACACCAUUCAGAGAUAGUAUAUCGUAUUUAUUUUCAUAUGGAUUAUGCACUGUGCCUUAGGUGCUUAUACUAUGGGCAUUUUUAUAAGUGUAAACUUGAUUGAUUGGUCACAAGACUGUUUUGGAUAGCUGUAAAAUGGAUUUGGCCCCCAGCCACGGUUUGCUCAGCACAGAUAUACUGUAGGACUGAGAUAACUUCAAGAAUUCAUAACACAUAUGCUCAGAAAUAUUACAAACCCGUAUUUGUACGGUUGGCAUUAUACAUGCAUCGCUAAACAUUUCUCAAUAGCAAUGCAUACUACAACGUAUAAGAGAAUCCUGGCUGGAUAUUUAUCAGGAAAGAAGACUUAUGAAAAUGUGUUUUCAAUAACUGGUGUGAAGUCAGCCCACUCUGUGCUGAUUAGAUGCAGCGGCAGCUCAGAAACAGCCUUAUUCAGCAUAAUACGAAGCAAUCACCCGCUGUACACAGGCUUGAAUUGGGAGCUUCACACUUUAUGCUGAGUGACUAAAUGCAAAAAAAAUCAAGAUGACUGCAUUAAUUGCCAUCUUCUACUUGAAUGGCAAAAAGAAAUCCAACAUCUAACGUCACCUCUCCACCUGGAUUCUUUUUCCACGGUAUUCUCAAUUGCUGUUUCAAAAAAUCACCUUUGUAAGAUUAACUCACUAUAGUAAUGCCAUUGUUAUCAAAGUACAAAGCUGCCACCCUUCUAGGAAGCCAUCGUUUUUAUACAAACUAUACGAGCUUGAUAUUAAGAUUGUUUUUAUAUGCAAAUUGUAUCUUCAUACCAUUUUAUGCUCCUCUUUCUUGUAAGUUGCAAAGGAGGCCUUGUACAAGCCGGUAUUUCUGUUCUUCAGAUCUGGUCUUCAAGAGUCUCAGUUUUAAAAGAAGAACUGGACUGUUUUCAAGCAGUUAAGUCACCAGCAUAAAUAUUUCACAUAUCGGAUAAAAAUAAGGUUUUCCUAAGUAGCUGUAACUUUCUAGGGUUCUAGAGCUUCCCAGUAUUGAACUGGUAAUGACAAAGACUGCAGCCAUUAAAGGCAACCUUGUGAUGGAUCAUCCACUAUUCUAUUCUAUUUCUCACUACCUUCAAAUAAUAGUCAAACCAAUACAUUUCACUUAGAACACGUAAUUCUCUUGUUCUGGUGCAUUUGCAAACUACUACCUGUAACAAUGUGGGAACAUUACAGCCACCUUGAUAUGCAUGGUCUGGGUUCUUACAAACACCUGAGAAGGAAUUUAUUUUUAAUCUUCACGCUUUGAAUAAUCCUUUCUAUACCAACUCACACAUGCAACUUUAUUGCUAGUAUGAAGCAAAACAUUUAACUCAGAUGAGGACUAGGUAAACAUUUUGGACAGUCUUACUUCUCUUUGCAAAAGCAUGGCUCCAAUCACAAACAGCAGGAAAGUCUCUCAUUAGGCUCUGAAACUUUGGAUGUAGUAAUUUCACAAACCUCAACCGAGGAGAAAGCAGCAUUUGUCCAUGCCAGAUACAAGCACUCCCUCCUAAAUUUCAUGUUAAGUCCGAUUUUCUUAUCUACAAUGAAAUAGGCCAGAUUUUUUUUUCUCCUGCAAUAAAUCCUAAAAUAAUUUUCAGGUCUCCAAAAAGCUCUGCUGGACACCACUGAAUCAGCAGCGCUAAGGAAAAAAACACCUUUUCCCUCUUUGAGACAGCCCUGGUGUUAACUUAGGAAUGUUCUUGCAGGCUGAUUCACUACAGCACCAAAGCAUAUGUUCACCUUUAGGAGUGCACAACUGACGUAAACUGGAAAGGCCCACGUUAAUGGUUUGCUGGAUCAGGUCCUAGUCCACAGUUGGUUACCCAGUUAAUCUGUUGCUGAUCCUCUGUGUGCUCACAGGGGCUUAGAAGAUGGCAUGGGAAAACAGGAAUGAAAAGAUGCAGAGACAAGAUGCACCAUUAUGACAGUUCACUGAAUCAUCGAGACCGUGGCUUGUCAACUACAGACAACAGUUAAAUCAAAUCAAAAUAGGGUUUGGGGAUCAAUUAAACCAUAUUGCUGGAAUCAUGCUGUCAACUGGCACCUGAACAUAAACUAAUACAAUCAAGCUACCACAGUUCAGGCUACCAAUAAUGUUAAAUUACACUCCUUGGACUGCAAAGCUUUUUUGACUGUCUUCUUUUUAACUUCCUUAGGUUAAAGUUGAUUUUUAAGGCAAUCCAUUAAAGUCAGAAAGCAUAUUUUUCUCCCCUCAACAAAGAACAUCCUUUAGUGGCAUGGCAAUGUCACUUUGCCAACAAUUAAAAAGGCCUGAUUUAUACAGUCUUUAGUAUCAGUGCAUGGGACAAUGAAAUGCUUCCAGAAAAUCACACGAUUUUGUAUUUUCAGUCUCCAGGGAAAGCCACAGAGACGUGGGCCAACACAGUUAUAUGUCAUUUGCAAAAUGAAACAUGGCACUUGAUAAAGAAAUAAUCUAGGUGGGAUGCUUGCUAAGUAGGUCCAAGCUGUCAAAGCAUCAAAGACAUCACCUUUUCCUCCUGUCACUCAGAGUACUGGCAACCUAUGCCCAUUACCAUGAGAACAGAGAUACUGCUGAAGUUAAAAAAAAAAAACAAACAAACACCGGAACCUUGUGGCUUUUGCACUAUGAGAGAGUCCACAAAAGAGAGUUUGGUGGAGACAUGCCAAGGUUAACUUUUUUACUUGUGAAAGUAAUAAUAACAAAACACUUUUUAAAUAUUCAAAUCAGAUAUACACAAUUAUAGAAUUAAGUUGGAAAAUACCUGCAAGAUCUUCCCACUGAAUUCCCCAAUUAAUUAAUCUUCAAUACCUUGGCAACUACUACUCUUCAUAGGAUUGUGGAAUGUUUUGGGCUGGAAGAUACCCUAAAGAACAUCUUAUUCCAAACGCCCUGGCAUGGGGAGGGACACACUCCCCUUGGCCAGGUUACUCAGGGCCCCAACCAGCCUGACCUUGAACAUUUCCAGGGAUGGGAAAGAUUUCAUAAAAUUUUUAAUAAGAGCAAGGUUUUCAGCUCACGUUGUAGACCAGGAGAGGGAAAACAAAGACAGAAAUGACAGCACAGAAAGGCAGGGGAAAGAGAAGGGAGUAUUUUGAAGUCCUACACUUCAGCACAUGCUGGUGAUACCUUUAAACUGGUAGAGAUUCAAAAGAGGUUUAAAAGAGAGACUUAGAAGAGGUAGAGAUUUAAAAAUAAUCAUUGGAAGCAUUAACAAGAUGCUCAAGCCUUUCAGCCACCCAGCCAGGCAUUGACAGCAUCUGGUGUCUUCCCUGAUGGGACAGCACUGAAUCCUGUGCAGGGUGGCCUAAACCAGGCUGCACCCAAGGACAACCACUGUGCUCCCAGGCCUGGCAGCUGUGGUUUCAAAUAGUUACAUAAGGCCUUCUUAAAAUGUGUGUGCGUAUUAAUGAAGUGGUAUAAUCCUCAUAUACACUUUUAAAACUGCACAAAAAUUAAUUAAUCUAGAAUUAGGGUGCAUUGUUUUCCUUUCCCAUUAUUUUCACUUUGGCUUCCUCAGGUGAUUUUAAAUCCAGCAGAAGUAUGUUUGAAUGGGCCUGAUGCUCUGAUGAAGGCUUGAUGCACAGUCCUCUGGAUAGGACACAUCCAAUAGACAAGUGAUGGAUGAAUGCUGACAAAGUGCCCUCCCCUAAAAUGUCACCUGAUGAUAGAAAGUUUCUGAGUUCUUUGCUAGAGACAAGUGUGGGGAAGCAAGGCAAAAGGCAAGCUCUUUAAAGAGAAACAACAUGGCUUGGGCAGACCAGCAGUGCAGCAGCAGCUGGGUCACCCUCAUCAGACACUUUGAAGAGCUGAUGAAAGGUGCACCAUCCAGGGGAGCCCUGAACAUAGGCUUUUUAAUACUCCUUCACUCAAGGGGACACACUAACAGCCUAAAUAUUCCUGCUUCCCCCCUCUACGUAUGGCUGCCGACAAAGAUGGACACUGAGGGGGAUGUAAUGCUACACCCCACACACUUCUCAUCACAAGUUACCCACCUGGCAAAAUCGAAUGUGGGGGGAAAACAACAGGGUUUGAGAAUGAAGACCCACCUUCUGUCUGAAAGUUUUAGAGGCAAAGAGAGAAAAUAUCCUCUUAAAUCUACCAUCUCUUUUUCCCCAGACAAGCUGCUCUCUUGCUCCUGCCACACAGCUCUUCUCUAUGCUCACAGCACUUAUCUUACAGACCUCAAAAUCCUCUUCCUCCUUUUGAGAAUAAAUCUUCUGUAGGUCUUAAAACACACUCUGAUAGACCUAGUGUGGUUAAUGAAGUAAAAUCCCACAGUCUGGAAGGAAGCAGCUGCCCUGGAGCAGAGGAACAGCCCUGCGGUCUCUCUUCGUUUAACUCCUGGUUCCCCAAAGCUCCUACGUUUGUUUUGGCCCAACACCAUCCCCUUUGGUAGAAGUACAAAGACCCUGUAUCUCCAGACUGGCUGCUCUGGCUUGGACUGCAGAUACAAUUCACAUUUCUAUUUUAAACUUGGGCUAAAACCUGUCAUCUUUUCAGGGAGCACAGCAGCAAAUACAUCAAAGUGUUCAUGGUCUUCCGUUAACUUUCCUGCAAUUUGCCCUAAAGGACAUGCCUGCUCCAAAACUGUCACGAUUAACUUGGACAAGGGGGAGAGUUGAAGGCUACAGAAGCAUCUUAGGAGAAAGAAAGCCGUGGCAAGUCCCAAGACACCCUCAUGGGAGCACAGAAAUAGUGCACCAACAGUAACAGGGGCGUAGCUCUGCUCCCAACAGCGGCACGCGGAUGCUCAGCCCCGGGUUCCUCCGCUCGCAGCCUCAGCUCCUCCAGGGAAAUAUACACACAUUUGGUACUGCAGGCAACCUCUGCAAGGCAAAUCCCUGGCUGCCUCGACUGGAAUACAGCUCAACUCUGAGCCUAAUUUAGGAACCAGUUUAGGAUUUCAGUUCAGCUUUAUUAGUGAAGUUGAUGGACUGAGAAGAACUCACACAAAGCUGUGGCUCCUGUAGCAUGGAGGUAAUUUUAUUGACAAAAUUGUUCCACAAGCCGAGUAAACUGUGGUUUAGGUGAGCAUUGCUUACUGCUGCUGUUUUCCCCUCCAGGGUUAUCAGAAAGCGAGUCAUUCACCCCUGUGAUAAGCAUUUUAAUGACAGUAUCCUGAAACUGCAGCCACUGUGAUUCACAGAGGAAACCCAUCCCAAAAAGCCUUCACCUAAGACAAGAAAGGUAUUUAUAGGGAAGCUUGCUGGCUUAUAUGAAAACACAAAUAUACUGACAAAAGUGUUUUCCAAAUCAAGUUAAUGAAUACCAAAAAUGCAAGCAAAAUAGAUGAUCUAGGGAAGAAAAUUUCAAAGGAGGGUGGGAACAGAAGGCAUCAGGCACUGAGUUGCAGGGAUGGCAUACAGGGACGUUUCUGCACAGUUAAAGAUUUUAAAAACAACUGGUGGGACAAACAGUAACCCAGCUAAUCCUUGGUACUGGCACGCAGCCUAUUUUGGGAGAGCAGCAGCUGGUGAAUCUGACGUAAGUCUCUGCAUCCAAAGCAGGAACUUACUGUAAUGAAACCACAGCCCACAUUGGAAAAAAGACUGUAAACGCGACAAAAAAAAAAAAAUUUAAAAAAUCAGGAUCUCAAUACACUAUGUGCUACAUUUUCAUCCAAGUAAAAUUAGCCACAGAAUGUCACAAUUAGGCUGAUUCAAAAAAAAAAAAAACCAAAAAAACUAAAAAACCAAACCAAAAAAAACAACAACCAAAAAAACCAACAACCAAAAAAUCUCCAAAAUCAAAACCAUAAGUUGGACUGAAUUAAGUAUUUAAAAAAAAAAACAACAUAACAGGGUGAGGAUGAAGAAAUUACAAGCCUUGCAUCUUCUUCGGUUUGAAAAGUACAAAUCUAAGACCUUAAGUGGCAUAAAAACACCAUUCCAGAAGCCUGAGGCACUAGGCAGAACUACAUGGACUGGAAAAAAUAGGCACAUUAGUGAACCACCUAAUUCAGGAUCCAGUUACUCUUCCACCCCCAUUAGGGCACUGCAAGAAUGUCAUUCCCUUUAUCUUGGGCACCGUGAGAAAAGCGCCUUCUGAUAAAAACAUCCACACCUCUCUCUCCCCCUCAUUCCCUCCCUCUCCCUGGCCUCAGAGGAGGGCCAGGUUCAGGUGAGGCUCUGAGCAGAUACUCUCUGCAUUUCCCUGACUGACUGGUUUCCAGGAUUCUUUCUUCCUUUCUUUCAGAAAAUACAAUGGGGGACCAAAAGAAGGGUUUGAGGAACGCAGUGCUUUUUAAUCUUUCUCUUAGCUGUUUGAUAAUAAUUAGCAUGGGAAGAAAUUACCAUCUGCAUAAUGGUAGGAGCAGUCACACAACGCCCCUGAAUCUCAUUUCAGGAAUUCCAGUUGCUGCACCUGGUAAGGGUAAUGGAAGGUGCCGAUUUCAUGGACAAAAAAAAAACCCUUAAAAUAUCUUUAAACGGUCUGAGAGGCACACAAAAGGGGUGAAGAGGGUUAUAUUUCAUUUAGGGAUGAUAGAAGAGGAAGUCAUCAGGUCAUUAAAUCGUUUAAUUUGUUCUAUAAGCAAAUGAGUGCAUAAACACCAGAGUUCUGGUUAUAUUAUCGCUGACUGACCUUCAGUGUCAAACUUGCUCAGUUUAGAAAGAAAAUGUUUUCUUUUGUCUUUAAGAGCCAGCCUUGUAAAAAUAGCUCCGGAGCUGAAAGUCAAACUGUGUUCUUUUUUGUUCAUGCAUCACCAUAGAAAUUGGUGAUGGAAAACUUAUUAGAAAUUGUCACUGGAGUCAGCAGAUACCGGCUUUCAAUAAUCUUUGGCAGCGCCGUGGAGUAAGGAAGGGGAUGUUUUCCAGAUCACAACUCCUCUUGAAACAACCAGAUUGUGCCUCCAGGGCUGUGCGUGAAGCAAGGGCACGGAGAGGGGCUGUGCAAGAUAAGAUGGGGGGGAAGGGAAUGAAAUGACUCGCUGGUUUUUCCCCUGACCAGCAGAUCCUUCACGCACCGCAUGCCCCCGCCCCAGCCGCCGGCAGAACGCGGUCACGUUGCGAAGCUGGGAUGAGCUGUCGGCUUGCCAGGAGCUCCCUGCCUUCUCCUGCGCCGGCCUCAGCGCUGCAAAUGUGGCUCUGGAAACGCAGGAAGCGCUCUGAAAAUUUUAGCUGUUCUCAUCAACCACUCGUGCUUCUUAACCCCUCGCUAAUUCCCUCCCACAGCACAGCCUGUGCUGCACAUUUCAGGGAGAUGAACCUCAAUUUGCGGCAGGGAACUCUGCUGAAACCGGAUCAGCCUCACUCGAUUCAACCUCCAGACUGUCUUGAUUCCAAGCCCGCUUCUGCUCAAUGUUCAAAAUCUUCACAGAUUUCUCUGUGCAGCCAGAAGAACCAAGUUCAACACGGAAACUAAAUCUGUCCUACUUUAACAUCUUUCAUUUCCAGCAUUUAAUUCCUAGCUUUUAAUACAUGAGAACCAGCAUUUCUCUAAAUAGGCUUCUCCACUGCUUUUUUAGACUGUACAUCAUUGAUCCAGGCUUUCCCAGUGCCAUUUGCUUUGGGAUCACCAUCAUCCAAAGAGAAAGUUUGCUACAGAACAGCAGUGGCAGAAGCGGCUCCAAAAGGGAGUUUGGGAAGCAUCACAGAUCCAGCCCUGACUCUUCUCUUCUCCUCCCAUGUAACACAGGAACUUCUCAGGUCGGAGGAAAAUUCAUGCAGCUCCCAAAGGAGACACACUUCCUUCCCUGGAGAAAAGGCAGCUGGAAGUCUCCGUUUAAUUUCUGAAAUGCUUUACAUACCGUGAGUGUUAUGCAUCUCACAUUUUGACUUCAGUGAGUUAUUAUAUCAUCACGGAAAAACAUUAUAAAUAUUACAUUGAAAACAAACAUAGAAGUAUAAUUUAUAACCACUGACUCAAAACUAGCUGCCUUGGAACUCCCAGGCCAUGGGGCCACCAUUUGCCUCUGCUCAUCAUCCUGUUAACUUUGUCUUCCACAAAUGUCAUCACAGGGAAAAUGGUGAGAUACUUGAAAUCUCACCAAGUUUAUAGUUAAUAAAGUUGUUUAGCAUGGAUGAAAUUAUUUCAUAUUAUAUUCAUGACAGAAAUCUUGCAUAAAAUAAUUUCAUGCCUUAAUAUUCACAGAAUUUCAGCAUUCUUCACACAGGCUUUGCUUUAAUUAUCCAUAAUGAUUAACUCCAUCAUUUAAAUGGUAAACUGAAUCAUUUCUGGCACUGUGAGAAGGGAGGGAGCUUUCCACAGACAUGAUGCAAAUAGAUCAAUGAAACAUAAUAAAUGUAACAUUUUUGGCUAAAAGUUGUCAUUUUACUGUUCAAAUACAGAAGUAUUCUUUAUGGAUUGAUAGAAGGAUGCAUUGAAAUAACAUUCUGAGAUGUCCCUCACACAAGGAUUAGAAGCAGCAUUAUGUGCCUGCUCUCUAACAAGAGCUGGAAGAUGCUCUGGAGGCUGGACACACCAGGAACUUUAAAAGUAGUCUAUGUUUUGGACUUCUUUGCACAGAAGGGAGGAGCAGAUUGCUGAAUUUUACUCUUGGUAAUGGAUGACCUCCUUCUGUAGCUCUUUUUCAAUCAAAUAAUUUUUUUUCUUCCAAGAUAUCUGCUGGGAAGGUUUCCUGGAAAGUAGCAGAAGUGGUUUGGGAUGUGAUUUCUGCAGCCGCAUUUGAAGUCCCUUAUUUCUGAAAUAGAAAUUUGGAGACAAAACUUCCUUCAAAAUGAAAAAUUUAGAGUGGGAGGAAAGGGAAGUAGGGUGGACAUUUUUUGAAGGUGUUUAAGUGAUUCUACUACUUUAAAACAUGUUUUACCUCAUUCAAGAAAACAAGAGUGUGUUUCAGAGAACCCUUAAAACCAGAGUUGUUUAACAUGAAAAAUAAAGCAUAGAUGUACAAAAGCAGAGUGAGGUGAGUUUUUUGGCGGAUGCAUUCUGCUCCAUCUCCUUUGCAGGCAGGGCUGUCACACAGCCACACACACUGUGGGCAGGCUUCCCCUGGCAGUGGAAUUUACCAGCACAUCUCAAUUGCAUUUCAGGCACGGAAGAGCAGAGGGUCCACACACCAGCACAUCCUUCAGACUCAUCCUUCCUCUGAGACAUGUCCCCCAUCAGUGCUGAGUCAGCCAGAGCCAAGCUGGGCAUCCGGCAGCACAGACUGUCUGUGCUACACGAGCUUUGACUCAGCUCAUGCCAGCUGAUGAGGAAGGGAUUGGCCUGAGCACUAGGAGAUAAUUUUCCAAGGUGUUUUGCUGCUCCUGAAGCCAAUCUGUAAUUUUACAGCAUUUUGAUUUUUAUAGGAAGUCUUCUAUUAAAACAGAAAAAUCGAAACUCCAGCCUGGAAGAAGCUCAGCUGUGUGUUCAGAAGAGGAAUACCUCAGACACAUGUAUGCCAGGCCUACAUUUCUUAAGCAGUUUAUGGAAUAAUCCCUAAAAUGUAUACAAAAGGAAGUUUAUAGCAUUUCAAACCGCGUCGUAUUUCACCCCAAUUUCACAGCUGUCCUCUUCCCACACCGUAAUGGCCUAAGUUUCCAAUCCUGCCAAAGGGUUUUGGUUUUGUUUUCAUAAAUUAAAACCAUGGAUUUCUUCAUAAUAGGCCACUUAGGAUCUGUAUAGAGAGAGUAUUUCCAGAAGAUCUGACAUCCCUUCAUUAAAAUAGGUUACAUCCCUGGUAGACUGAAUGCUAACUUGAGAAGUCUUAAACAGAUGCUGUACAAGAAAUAAAUUUUUCGAGGCGCAUGGUGCAAUAGCAGCGCUGCUGAAACCAAUUGAUCCCGUGACAUUACAGCGAGAAGAUGCUGCAGCUAAGAAAAACGUCAACUUCAUUUCAGCCCCAAACAAGUUAUAACAGCAGCAGUGUUGGCUCAGGGCAUUUUUAAGGAAUUAAUAACCAGCUAGGGUUAGUAGCCUGAGGCAAAGUCAAGGAUUAAGCGCUAUGAGGAUAAACACAUACAGCAGCUUCAAAUAAUAUAGCUGACUUCAGUUUAAUCAUUUUGUUUCACUUUCAAAAAAACUUAUGAUCUCCAGACAGAAAAUAUAAUUCGUAUCAGCAAAAGAAUAUACACAUACACACCCCCCCAGGCAAGAGCUGAAGAGAUAAAUGGAAACACUGUAAAAAGUAAACGUUUUCUUCUUAGCAACAGAAGGAGAAAGAUUCCAUUGGUUACAAUUAAAACAAACAACCAAGAACUCCACAAAAUAGGCAAAUAUUCCCAAGGGAUGAUACAACAAAGCAGGAGAGGGACUUUUGGAAGGACAUAGAGUGAUAGCACAAGGGGAAUGGCUUCAAAGUGACAGAGGGUAGGGUCAGAUUGGCUAUUAAGAAGAAAUUCCUUGUGACAGCGGCGAGGCCCUGGAACGGGUGGCCCAGAGAAUUUAUAAACACCACAUCUUUAGAAAUGUUCAAGACCAGGCUGGAUGGGGCUCUGAGCAAUCUGGUCUAGUGAAAGGUGUCCCUGCCCAUAGCAGAGUGUUAGAACUAGAUGAUCUUUAAAGGUUCCUUCCAACCCAAACCAUUCCAUGAUUGUAUGAAAAAAAUACCCAAACAAUGUUAAUGACUGUACAGAAGAGGAAAGGUAACUUAGGUGAUCCCAAAGUUCAACAUUUCCCCCCAAGAACAGUGGACCAACCUUCCACCAUAGCCUUCACCAGCCAGAAGUGCUCACAAAACUGAGCAAAUAUACCAAUGUGUUUAUGCUUUCUUUUUCUGUUCAGCUAGCAAAUAAAAAAUCAUCUCUGAUAUUUCUUUUGUUUGAAAGGACUGCACACUUCUCUUCACUAAAAUAAAUCAACCCAAUAAACUUCAGACUAGUCUGGAAAAUAUGUAGUCAGAACAGGAUUCAGAUUUUACUCAUAGGUAAAUCAAAAGCAUCUUGAAGGCACUGCCAUCAGCCUUAAGUUUAAAAGCUCCAAUAAAGAAGCUAAACAUCAAAACUGACACUUGAAUUUUUAAUCAAAGUAUUUCCUUGAAUCACUCAAAGUCAGGAUGGAAUAAUUGUAAGACGGUAUGCUUCAGCAUCUUUUUAUUUGAGAAGGUCUAACCAGUUGCUACCCUAACUCAGAGAGCCUGCAGUUGGAAUGUUUACAUCUAUCUUUGCAGAUCAAGGGGAGAAAGAAGCCUGUUCUACCUGGGUGACUUUUUAACACUUACGUCUAAACACAGUACAUGGCAAUUGCUCUCUUGUAGAAGGUAAUUUUUUUCUUUCUUUUUUUUUUUUUUAAUCAGGGAAAGGUCACUCUCUUACAUCAUUGAAGAUGUUUAAAGGACAUUGCAAAAUUCAGAUGUUACUUAAAAUUACUUUAAGACUCUUCUUUCAGUAUUAAAUACUGUAUAGAAAACUUCCAGUUGGUAACUACGAAGAUCCCAUGUUGAAUCUUUCAGACAACACUUUUCAUUUAUUACAGAGACAAAAAUCUCUGAGGCCAAUUAAAUAUUAACGUACAACGGAAAAGUUAAUCAUCUUUUAAUCUCUAAUUUAUGUUGAUAUGCUGAUAGAAAUACAUUUAUUAUUACUAUUUACUUUUAAAAAUGUAUAAAAAGGUAGGAAUUUUUAGACAGGUUUUUGAUACUCAAAAUGUUAUCUGACCUCAGUGAAGCAAGAGGAUGCUUUGUCAUGGACUGAAUUAAGACCUCACUGUAAGCUUUUGUUUGAUCAUUCUUUGUUCAGAAACAUGACAGCUAUACCCGUAGAGAUUUGUUUGAUUGGAGUUGUUUCUAGUCAAAACAUUUCUCAUGUGACCAGCACUUCCUGACUCACCCCAGAAAGCCUGUCACUGCCUAGAACAGCAUCAUCCACCUCCCUAAGCACGAGCUUUACAGCAAGGGACUCCAGAGCUUUAGUCCAAGUUCUUACAAUAUCCUCCUGUAGCUCCAGGGGAAUAACAUCCCUGAAGACUGAGACAGUAUUCAUGCGUGAAUAUGUCACAGGGAUGUAGGAAAGGUUAACAUUUUGAGAGCACAACACUUCCAUCUUGGUGAAAGAAAACAUGCAUGAGGGAUAGAAAGACAAAACUCAUAAGUUAUUGCAGACAGAAUGGAAAACUCAAAAAAAAUUACAUAAAACUUUCAGGGGCCUUACAGUCUAAUAUGGAAAGAUCAAACACUGGAGGAUUUUACUAGAAGUUCCUCUCACAAUUGCUGGUGAUGAAGAAUGAAUGAAUGCCAUUCCAAAUGCCAAGACAUGUUUUCAUUGCCUCUUACAGACAGCAUAUUUCUGAAUAUUGAGCUAUAUUCUUCCAAUGCUUUUCUACCUAUAAAUUCUACAUUUAGCACAGGGUUAUCCAUUUGGUGAAUUGCAAAAGCACAUAAUAAAAUGCAUUUUAUCAUCUAUAUGUGACAGCUUCACUUGCUGUUAAAGUAUCUUCCAAAUACUAUCAUGCUCUUGAAGAACUCUAAAAUAAACAUCAAAUCCCAACCACAAGUAAGAAGCUCCAUCCUCCUGAACAACUGAGUGUUGCUACAGCUUUACCCCAAUUUAAAAGCAUUCAGUUCAAGUCCAGCAUUUGCAGGGAAUUAUCCCAUAAAUUUUAAGCUUUAGGUGCAUCUUCUUUUCACCUCUGAGGAACAAGUGGUCAUCUAAUAUUUCACUUCUUAGACAAAACAGUUUCCAUGCCAUCAAUCCAUAAAGUUGAUAGUAUUAUGGAAAAAACCCCAUGCCAACAAACUUGUAAUAGAUUCAGCCUUCUACAUUAAGUUGUAUUGUUUUAUUUCUGCCUUUACUCCUAACUUGAAAAUACUAGUCAGUCUCCAUGUUUCAAAGAAGGAUUUUUCUGACAGCUCAUGCCAACAGUUCAGAUGGUUUAGCUGCCUAAAAGAAAAAAAGAAAAAAAGAAAAGGAAAAAAAAAAAA